rnacentral:misc_RNA from 1 species
AUGCAACAACAAAGAAGUAUAUAAUGAAGCAUGAAGAAACAACUAAAUCAUAUUGUAACUAAAAUAUAACAAGAAACUUCAAUUGCAUCAAUUAAAGAAAACUCCAGAAUUAUAAUAGUAUAUAAAUACAGUCAUUGAUCCAGUUCCUAGUUCAAACGUAAAUCCAAUUUAUAAAUUAUUGCCUUAAAUUUUCACCCCUUUCCUAAUUCCUUUGAUGGCUUAGGUCCAUAUAUUACCCUUCUAUAGGAUUUGUGCUAAUGAAUACAUCCAGUCAUCCACUUGACAACUUGAACUGCAAAUUACAUAAUAAUUAUUUGAUUGCUGCAAUUACUGAAGAGUAUUCCCAUUUUCAAACUGGGUCAACUGAAUAUCUGCUGAGAAGCCAUGAAACACAUACUGAAUACAACGUACCAAUAUUCAUAAAUUAUGCUUCAUGCAACUCUCAGUUUUUGGUUCACUUCAAGUUAGCAAAAAUUAUGGGUAAUAGCAAUCAUGCUGUAAUAACCUGUAACACAAUUUAGUUGACUCCAAAUGUAAUACCUCUACAGCAUACAAUGACUUUUACAUAUUAAACUUAGGCUGCUCCAUUCUAACUUGAAGGUCACAGGUUCAAAUCACAGCCUUCCUACAAUGCAGGGAAAGUUACAUCUAAUCUGCCUAGCGCCUGCAAGGCGGAAAAUCUCACGUGACAGAACACCCCCUUUGUCAAAUAUCAAAUUUAGGUAUAUGUGUGAUUGAGACUGAUGUCAUUUCAUUCAUUGAUUCUUCCAAUGACAUGAUUGAUCUAUCAAAGUAUGGACUCAUCCUGAUUAAAAUCAAGCUAGACAAUUUGAUUAUUCCGAACUUUGGAACCUAACCAACCAAAUUGAUCUUCUGUAAAAGACUCCAGUAAGACAGAAACGGUCUAUUUAAAGCAACAUUUAAUAUAAAUGAGUUGUCCUAGAGAAAAGACUGCUAAGCACAAAUCAUCUUUGCUGCAAUAUGACAGAACAUUUUGAAUCCUGAUCAUUGAUGACAAGUAAAUAUCAAAAGAUUAGCCAAAAUCGCAUGCUUUCACAGUCAGAUUUAUUUAGGUGGAAAAAGACUCAAAAACCAGCCUUCUCUUUAAAAGAAAGAACAGAGAAGACAAGUACCCAAAAUGUACAGCCUUUAUUCAUUUUAUCUUGUGGACAUUGCAAACGGUAACUAAAGCUUUCUUAGUCAUUUGUUUCCCUUGCAGAUUAAGAAACAAUCCCUAAUUAAUCAUGAAGCAAAACAAACUAAUCUCAAGACCUAAAAGUUUAAACACAAAAAGCACAAAAUAAAGACAAGAGUCAAGAGUAUGCAAGAAACAAGAACGUAAACUCUAACCAGAAACAACUUAGAGAUGGAGA